rnacentral:lncRNA from 10 species
UCAUUCUCUGGGCCUUUCCUUUCCCUGAGGUUUGGCCCCAGAAACAGGUAGAAUGCAGAGCCUUCUCUAGCGAUGGGGGCCAGGAGUCAGUGCAGACAAAAGAAAGCCUGGUUUAGUAACAAGGUUGAAUUGUGUUCCCCCAAAAGAUGUUGAAGUCCUAACCCCUAGUACCUGUGAAUGUGACCUUAUUUGGAAAUAGGGUCUUUGCAAUAUAAUCAAGUUAAGAUGAGGUUAUUAGAGUGGGCCCUAAUUCAAUAUGACUGUGUCCUUAUAAAAAGGGAACAUUUCACCCAGAGACACAAACACACACACAGGGAGAUGCCAUGUAGAACAUAAAGAGGCAGAGAUCACGGAGAUGCAUCUACAAGCCAACGAACACCAAAGAUUGCAUCAAACCACCAGCAGCUAGGAGAGAGGCGUAGAACAGGUCCUCCCUCACUGCCCUCAGGAGGAACCAACCCUGCCAGCUACUUGGUCUCGGACUUCCAGCUGCCAGAACUGUGAGAUCAGAGAUCUCUGUUGGUUAAGCCACCCAGAUUGCCAUACUUUGUUAUGGCAGCCCUAGCAGGCUACUAGAGGCUUCAACCUGAAGUUAGCAAGACCGAGCAGAUGAGAGUGGAGAAUGGGUGUUGCUUGGGAAGUGCCCAGGGCUGGCUUGUUUGCAUGGAGACUUGAGGAACCAUUCACAAUUCCUGGGGAUUCACACAUAAAGAAAGAACAUCAGCAGGAACCCUGAGCCACCAUGUAACAAGUCCUGCCACCCUGCUGGAGAUGCCAUGUGGAGAAGCCUGGAGAGGAAGAAGCCCCAAGACUAUGGAGAGAGGGGCCUGCUGUCCUAGUACCGGGGCUGAGCCCAGCCUCCCAGCCACCUUCACCAAAGAACAGGAGAAGACAUGCACAUGGAGCCUUCUGGGAUGUUUCUGCCCCAGCAUUUGAUGGCACAUGCAAGAGAUCAUGAGUAAGGACAGAAGAAAAACUGACCACUGAGCCCCAGACGACCCAUAGUACCUUUGGUUAAGAGUAGACAAGGCAGACAUCUGAGCCUGCAUGACUCAGCAAGUUUAGGGUGCAGGCACAUACUCCACUUGUUGUAUAACCUGUUUGUGUAAGCUGAUACUUGCCUUGGAGCCACUAUUGUCUGUAAAAGGUAUAACUGCCCUGCUGACACUGUGCAUGGGGGACAUGGCUUGGCUUGGCUCUUGGGCAUGGCUUGACAUGGCUCUUGCGCUCAUGCCCAGAGAGAGAAGGAGAUAAACUGCUGACCCUGAAGGGAGAGCUGGCCACACAGCUGUGCGUGGGGGCAGCCGCAGCAAGCAGCCGAGACAGAACAGACAGUGUAGAAGAGCUGCUGAUGAGCGAGCUGCUGAAUAAAGCCAUAUUUCCCCUACUGACAGCCCCCCGAGUGUUGUUUCAGCUAUCUGCCAUUCAUCCACCCACUUCCUUCAGACCUCAGCAUGGGCUGGAACUUGGACUUGAACCUGACACAGAAGAAGCAAGAAAAUAGUUGUUUGGCUGGGUGCGGUUGCUCACACCUGUAAUCCCAGCACUUUGAGAAGACAAGGUGGGCAGAUCACUUGAGCACAGGAGUUCAAGACCAGCCUGGGCGACACAGAGAAACCGUCUCUACUAAAAAUACAAAAAUUAGCUAAGCAUAAUGGUGCGCACCUGUAAUCCCAGCUAUUUGUGAGGCUGAGGCAUGAGGAUUGCUUGAACCCGGCAGGGGGAGGUUGCAGUGAGCCAAGAUGGCACCAAUGUACUCUAGCCUGAGUGACAGAGGGAGACUCUGUCUUAAAAAAAAAAAAAUAGUUGUUUAUAAGCCCUUUCUAUUUUGAUAUAAUUAUAAACUUACAGAAAAGAUAUAAAAAUAACACCCCAAAAAAUCCCACAUCUUUCAUCCAAAUUGCCCAAAUGUUAAACAAUUGCAGGAGGACAGGGCAAAUGUUAAAAGUUAAAAGUAAGUUGCAUACCCCUAUAUAAGGCAAUGUGUAUCUCCUAAAAGCAAGAAAAUUCUCUUACAUAAACACAGUAUAAUUAUAAAAGCCAGAAAAUUACAUUUUUAUAAUGCUAUUAUCUAAUCUACAGACCUUGUUCAAAUUUUGCCAAUUGUCCCCAAAAUGACCUUUUUUAGCAAAAGAAAAUCCUGGAUUAUGCAUUGCAUUCUCUUGUCAUGUCUGUAUAACCUCAUUUAACCUGGGCCAGUUCCCAGGCUUUCUUUGCUUUGCAUGAUAUUAACACUUUUGAAGAGUACUGGUCACUUAGUUUAUAGAAUGUCCCUCAACUUGAAUUUAUCUGGUAUUUUCUCACAAUUAGAUUCAGGUUACACAUUUUUUGGCAGAAAUACAACAAAAGAGAUUUUGUAUUUUCUCAGUGCAUCAUAUCAGGAGGUAAGCAAUGUCGAUUCAUCCCAUUACAGGUGAUAUUGAACUUAAAUAUUAGGUUAUGAUGGCAUCUGACAGUUUUAUAAAUUUACUCAGUAUAAAGUUAUGGGUUUUUUGUUUGUAAUUAAUAAGUAUUUUACAGAGUGAUGCUUUGAGACUGUGUAAUGAUCCUGUUGUUCAUGACUCUUUGAGCCACUAGCUUUAGUAUCCAUUGAUGAUUCAAUUGAUUAAACAAUUUCUACCAUGAUAAUUGCAAAUGGUGAUUUUCUAAUUUCAUCACUUCUUCUAUACUUAUUAAUGAGCAUUCUACUGCAAGAAAGAGAUUUCCCUUUUCCCCUACUUACUUAGUUAUAACAGUUUUAACUAAGUGAUUUCCAUUUGAGUCAGUGGGUUAUAAUCUGUUAAUAUCAUGAUGUAUUCUGAUGCUUAAAUUCCCAGAUUUGGCCUUUGAGAGCCUCUUCCAACUGGUCCCAAGUCCUUUUCAUAUGUUCCCAUGAUUCUCUGAGCACUUACAUACUUUUCCGGCAGAAGAUGUUCCAGGCUCAUUUUGUAUUGUCCUUGCCCCAGCCUUUGAAUCAUUUUCCUAAGGAGUUUUGGUUCUUUUUAGUGAGGAAAGUAUUUAGAAACCAAGAUCUUGGUGAUAGGCAUGCUCAUUGCUACUGAGCAUCAUUGCUUUUUAGCCCUCUUAGUGACCAGACCCAGUAAAUAUAUAUAUGUGUCCACGUGCACACACACAUAUAUACCCACACUUUAUCUAUUUUUAUAUCUAUCUCUCUAUAUUAAAAAUGAUUAGUUCAAACCAUGAGUUCAUAACCUUAUGGAAUAACUCCAUAAGGUUUCAUUCUAGCUCCCUCCCUUUUCAUAUUUGUUAACUUCCUUUUCUAACGGUGAAAAACCUGGCUCCUAUUAUCUAUGACAUAUUGUCUUAUUUUCUUAAUCCUAAAAUAUACAGAGAAUGCUUUCAAAAUUGUUAACUCAUACCUCUGCAGGAGAAAAAGCAAACCAAAACUACUGACUUGCAUUCAAUGUUUACAGUUUUUGCCUGGCAAAGUCCAAAUACUUUCUUCAAAAGUUGCUCAACCUGGACAUGGCGGCUCAUGCCUGUAAUCCCAGCACAAUGGGAGGCCGAAGCAGGAGGAUCACUUGAGUCCAGCAGUUUGAGAGCAGCCUAGGAAACAUAGCAAGGUCCAGUCUACAGAAAAUCUAAAAAUUAGCUGAGUGUCAUGGUGCACGCCUACGAUCCCAGGUACUCCAGAGGCUGAGAGGCGGGAGGAUCACUUGAGUCUGGGAGGUUGAGGCUGCAAUGAGCUGUGAUCACGACAUUGCACUACAGCCUGGGCGAUGGGAGUGAAACCCUGUCU